AAUGAACGUUGGCGGCAUGGAUUAGGCAUGCAAGUCGAGCGAGAAGUGUAGCAAUACACGGAAAGCGGCGGAAGGGAGAGUAAUACGUGGGAAUCUGCCCUUAGACCUGGGAUAGCAGCGGGAAACUGCUGGUAAUACCAGAUAAUGUCUAUGGACCAAAGGUGUGAUUCCGUCUAGGGAUGAGCCCACGUCCUAUUAGCUAGUUGGUAGGGUAAUGGCCUACCAAGGCGAUGAUGGGUAGCGGGUGUGAGAGCAUGACCCGCCUCACUGGGACUGAGGCACUGCCCAGACACCUACGGGUGGCUGCAGUCGAGAAUCUUCGGCAAUGGGCGCAAGCCUGACCGAGCGAUGCCGCGUGCGGGAUGAAGGCCUUCGGGUUGUAAACCGCUGCCGAGGGGGAGCAACUUCCAUAGAGUUAUCUUUAUGGAUUGAGUGAUCCCUGGAGGAAGGACGGGCUAAGUUCGUGCCAGCCGCCGCGGUAAGAC
rnacentral:rRNA from 1 species